rnacentral:rRNA from 1 species
UACGAAGGGGGCUAGCGUUGCUCGGAAUCACUGGGCGUAAAGGGUGUGUAGGCGGUUGUUUAAGUUUGGUGUGAAAUCCCUCGGCUUAACCGAGGAACUGCCCUCCAAACUGCUUGGCUUGAGUCCGGGAGAGGUGAGUGGAAUUCCCAGUGUAGCGGUGAAAUGCGUAGAUAUUGGGAGGAACACCAGUGGCGAAGGCGGCUCACUGGACCGGAACUGACGCUGAGGCGCGAAAGCGUGGGGAGCAAACGGG